GUACACGCUGUGACUAGCAUAUCAAUAAGCGGAGGAAAAGAAACUAACAAGGAUUCCCCUAGUAACGGCGAGUGAAGCGGGAAGAGCUCAAAUUUGAAAUCUUAAAGGGUUUCCCUCUACGAAUUGUAGUUUAAAGAAGUGUUUUCUGUUGAGGUUUUGGUAAAAGUUCUUUGGAAUAGGACAUCAUAGAGGGUGAGAAUCCCGUAUUUGACCUUUACUUUCAACUUUGUGAUACACUUUCAAAGAGUCGGAUUGUUUGGGAAUGCAGUCCAAAAUGGGUGGUAAAUUUCAUCUAAAGCUAAAUAUUGGCGAGAGACCGAUAGCGAACAAGUACCGUGAGGGAAAGAUGAAAAGAACUUUGAAAAGAGAGUUAAACAGGUACGUGAAAUUGUCAAAAGGGAAGCGUUUGACACCAGUGUUGUUUUUCUGAAAAUCAAUUAAAGAACUGUUUAUGCUAAGCUGUUUAGACUUUAUCAGCUAUACUGUUUAGUUUUGAGCUUUUCCUUAAUGCACUUUUCAGUUAACAAGUCAACAUCAAUUUCUUUUGCUGUAAAAAAGCUUGAGGAAGGUGGCUUGAGAUUCGUCUUAAGUGUUUAUAGCCUCUUGCCUAUGCAGUCGGAGAGAUUGAGGUCUGCAGCGUAGAUCCUUCGGGGCUAAAUGCAUUUGUGCUAAGUUAUAGCAUUUUAUAGACAACUUGUUGACUAUGAUUUGUCUUGUAGCUUACUCGCUUAUGUUGUUUUACCUACGCUUAGGAUGUUGACGCGCGUGUGUGCGUG
rnacentral:rRNA from 1 species